UGGUAUUUGUAGUUCUAGGUACUCCAGUUGUUAUCAUGGUCUGUGUGAGUCUGGUAUUUGUAGUUCUAGGAGCUCCAGUUGUUAUCAUCCUUGUAUAUACAUACAACGCUUCUGACAUUUACAAACAUCCACGGUCUCUCACCAUCAGGAGAAGGAGGAGAGAAUCAUUAAUAACAUUAAAGUAAUCAUGUAUGUAUUACUUUUUAUGUGUUGCCAAUUAUUCUUCAUUAGUCUUUCUCUCUCCUUCAGGUACUACUUCGUACUCUGAUGCUAGAGUGACUGCUGGUAAUGUUUAUGCAUUUUAUGUCAGUGAGUCAUAAUUAGCAGAAGCAAUAUUGCAGAAAUUAUAAUGUUUUAUCCAUAAUGUCUUAUCUAGGAACUCCAGUUGUUUUCAUUGUCUGUGUGAGUCUGGCUGUUUUGGCGUUGGUACUCAUCCUGUUACUGAUCUGUAAAUGGAGGAGAGACAGGAAUUCAUCAACACCUCAAGACUACACCUACCAAACCCUCAAUACAAAACUUUAAGAUUCUACCUACCAGACUUUCAUCCAAAACAAAACAUACCCAAAGCAGAAGUCUUCAAAAAUAUCUUACAAUUACUGUGCACAAGCAAAUACAGGUGAUAAUUUUUUGUGUACUACAUCAACAAAUGUUUUACUAUGUCAUCCAUUUUCCAUUCAUACCCAACAUCCUGAAGAAAGAAAAUACUCUCACUUUCUCAAUGUGUUAUACAAUGGGUUUGUGUAUAAUGUCAUGAAUCAUGUUAGCGCUGUAACCAUCAUGCACCAUAACCUCCAAUUAUUGUUAACAGUAGAUUACUGUAAUUGAACAUAGAGCUAUGUAUAUCUGAGCUGUAUUUUCAUCGCCUUGAUUGUUUGUCUCCUCAGCUAAAACAAACAUGAUAACUUUUGGAACAGAGAAAUUGAAAUUCAACUACUCUCAGACCUCUAUAUUUCAACAUAGACCAAUGGUGUUCUGUGUCAUUGAACAACGGGCAGAGAACUUGAGGUCUUUCAUUAGUUCUCAGAAUGAAAUUACAAAAUGUAUAAUACUGUUGUUGGAAAAUCUGUUUGGAUUAACCACUGUAAUGAUGCUAUAAUUAUCAGUGUGUCAUCAUUAUUUCAAAUUGUUGGCUGAAAUAAACAUGGUUACUUUAGAACAGGGAAGUUGACUGUAAUAUUAGUUUUUGCCAGACCAUUUAAGCGGAGCUGGCCUAGAAGAGCGAAUGUCUCUUAUUGGUGGCCUGGUUCCUUUUUCUGGUUCAUCGACUGAGAUUACACCCCUUUCUCAAAAGUAGGGAACUAGGGUGUAAUUUUGUUCCACAGCUGACUGAGUUCUCUACAGGUCCUGGUGUGAAGUAGGGCACUGUGUAGUGAAUAGGAUGUCAUUUGGGACACAGAAACACAUAUAGACUGAGUUCUGCUAUGGUUUAGAAGUCUAACAUUCAACCAGUUUGAACCAUUUUCAAUGUGCAGCACAUUUUCCCCUUUCACAUUGACUUAAAUACAGAUAAAACAACAGUUGACAUGUCUUUAUUCUUUGUUUUUGUGUUUAUCAUCUUUCUCUUUUUCCUCUUGCUUCAGCCAUGUAUUGAUAUUUCUCAUUUAAAUGAAGCCCUUUAUGUAACGAGGACUCGCGUGGCAGACGCACGCCCUCUCCCCCGGCGUGUGUCUCCCACAGCUCUGUCAUGUCUUGUUAUUGCCCACAACUGGUGUCCAUUCCCUCAUUAGGUUACCUUUAUUAGUUCCUGUGUUUCUGGGCGUCUUUGUUAGGUAUUGUUCUAUGUUUGCACGUUAUGCGCUCUUGUUUUACCCGUGCCAUUUUUCAAGGAUAAAAGAAACAGCUAGUUGAACUACCUCCCUGCGCUUGGCUCCCUUAUUUAUAUACACACCUCGACAACACCUGUGACACUUGUUAUGGACAUUUUGAACUAAGGUACAUUUGAGAAAUGUCUGUCUUUCUAUUGGCUGGUAUGUAAAUCUUUACUUUGAUUGUGACACACAUGUCUGUAUAAUAUCAGAGGAUUAUUAGGUAUUUGGGCCAUGUCUUCCUGCCUAGACAAAGAAGUGUGUCAGUCCUUUCUGUUCUUUAGGAACGUAGGAGAGAGGGAUCUGGUAUAUGUCUUAGGGGUCAUUCUUGAUUGGUCACAAUGGGUUGUAGGGUUAAUCAUCUGCCAACCUGGAGGUUGUCUAGAUGCUUUAAGUUUCCCUUAAGGGUUGAGAAAGUUAACCACAUGGGGGAAGACACCAUGUCCCUUGUGUCAAAGGGCAUGUGUUUGAUUGACAUGAGACCGAUGGGCAACAACUUACCACACCCCUUUUUCUAUGUAAUAAAUACGGAUUGUUCAUGUAUGGAGUUAGAGACUCCUCGGAUGAUUAUGUCGCGUCUCUCAUAUUUUGCAUAAUAGUUAAUAAAACUGUUAGUAUGUGCC
ensembl:lncRNA